rnacentral:lncRNA from 1 species
GUUUGAAUUCUGCUGGGAAUAUGGACGUUUCCUGGAUGCCAUUCUCCAGAUGGAUGAUGACCAAGGAAACUGCUGAGCCAUGGAUGGAUUGCAGGGAUAUGUCACGAGAAAGACAUCUGGAGUCAUCUGCCCACAUGCUGUGACGCUGGCUCACAUUUCUAAAGCAGAACUGCAGACAGAGGAGAUCAUGAGUGCUCCAAAGAACUUAGCUAUCUAUGCAAGUUCCAUUUUUUUAUCAUUGUAGUGAGUCAUUUUGAAAGGCUCCUUUUUUGGUUCUCUUUACUUAGGCUGCUGGUUCCUCUUGCUUGUAUGCCCAGUGACAGUCCUGAGACUUGUGACUGGGACUGCAAAAGCCAUUGGGGCUGUUGCCAUGGUUUUUCUCUUCAGAAUGGUGGAAAUGUCAUCCUUCCUCACUUCUCUUUUUUAAGGGUAUGAAAGAUGCUUCUGAAGAGGAAGGAAUUUACUUCUUGGGAAUAAUCACAUACAACCAGGAUGAGUCCCAUGUGCAGACUUUCAGGCUGGAGGAGGCAAAUGCAAAGAAUUUUCCAUACCUAAACCUGAGAGUCAUUCAUACUACAUAUGUAUUUAUCAAAUUCAAGUGGAUGGGAAGGCUGUCCCCUGAAGAACACAGUUGUGAAGGGCCAUAAAAUAGAUCAUUACAUCUAGUAACUGCAUUGAUGUGAACUGGUAACAGCAACGGACACAGUGCAAUUCCCUCCAUUCCUUCUGGAUUACACUGUGAUUGGAGAGAUGAUAAAGAAAACUUCUGCUAUGCAGAGUGUGAUUAUGAUAUCUGAAAGCCCCUCUGAAGAUAACAAUUUUGUUCUCUCUCUUUUACCUUCUGGUGUAUGUUGAAUCUUGGUUGCUGACUGAAGUGGUAACACAGAUAAUCAAGUUUUCAAAGAUUCAUAAAUCUAAUAACACUAAGAGAAGCUGAGAUGUAUUCUCUACUGAGUAGUGAAUCAUUAAUUGAACUGGUGUCAUGUUUUCCCUGUAAAAAAGCUAAAUCUGCAGUAGGGCUGAGAAAAGAUCUGAUUUGACUUUCAGUCUCCAGUGGGCUGACCAUUACGAAGGAAUCCUACUUGCUGCCUGCAUUAGGAAAAAAAGGGACACUGUGAAGAGACACUUUUCAAAGCAGCACCUCAUUUUCAGACCUGUGUUGAGGGGUCUGGUGGCCUGCAGCUAGGAAUACUUAGUGGUAUCAUUCAGAAAGGGGAUGCGCUGGCUGUGAACUGACAUGGGCCAGUUUUGAGUUGCUAUGCUCCUCAAAAGGGACUUUGCCAAAAAAGGAGAAGAAUUCAUCACCUAUUAGAACAUAUUCUGGCUGCACUAUACAAGCAAUUUACUAGAGUCUAUAUAUGAGUACUGGCAGUCUUUGAAACAGAAGAAGUAGGGUUUCUUUGUGUGCACUGAAGAAUUUUUGCUGUUGACUUCACUGGAGCUAUGAUUCUUCACCAGAUCCGUAUCCUGAAGGCCUAAAGUGCCCUUAAAAGGGCUACUGCAAAUUUAUAAACCCUAAUCACAGUCCCCAGUUGGCAUGACAACCAGCACCACUCCUGCUUAGGAUCUAGCCCUGCAAACCUGUAACCCUCUGUCUAUACCACACUCAGUACUCACUCAUGAGAUUCCUUUGUCCCUACCUUUUUUACUGGAACUUUUAUGACAAUAAAGAGCAUCUUUUUUUAAAAAAGUGUUUGAUG